rnacentral:rRNA from 1 species
AGAGUUUGAUCAUGGCUCAGAUUGAACGCUGGCGGCAGGCCUAACACAUGCAAGUCGAACGGUAACAGGAAGCAGCUUGCUGCUUUGCUGACGAGUGGCGGACGGGUGAGUAAUGUCUGGGAAACUGCCUGAUGGAGGGGGAUAACUACUGGAAACGGUGGCUAAUACCGCAUAACGUCGCAAGACCAAAGAGGGGGACCUUCGGGCCUCUUGCCAUCAGAUGUGCCCAGAUGGGAUUAGCUUGUUGGUGAGGUAACGGCUCACCAAGGCGACGAUCCCUAGCUGGUCUGAGAGGAUGACCAGCCACACUGGAACUGAGACACGGUCCAGACUCCUACGGGAGGCAGCAGUGGGGAAUAUUGCACAAUGGGCGCAAGCCUGAUGCAGCCAUGCCGCGUGUAUGAAGAAGGCCUUCGGGUUGUAAAGUACUUUCAGCGGGGAGGAAGGUGUUGUGGUUAAUAACCGCAGCAAUUGACGUUACCCGCAGAAGAAGCACCGGCUAACUCCGUGCCAGCAGCCGCGGUAAUACGGAGGGUGCAAGCGUUAAUCGGAAUUACUGGGCGUAAAGCGCACGCAGGCGGUCUGUCAAGUCGGAUGUGAAAUCCCCGGGCUCAACCUGGGAACUGCAUUCGAAACUGGCAGGCUUGAGUCUUGUAGAGGGGGGUAGAAUUCCAGGUGUAGCGGUGAAAUGCGUAGAGAUCUGGAGGAAUACCGGUGGCGAAGGCGGCCCCCUGGACAAAGACUGACGCUCAGGUGCGAAAGCGUGGGGAGCAAACAGGAUUAGAUACCCUGGUAGUCCACGCCGUAAACGAUGUCUACUUGGAGGUUGUGCCCUUGAGGCGUGGCUUCCGGAGCUAACGCGUUAAGUAGACCGCCUGGGGAGUACGGCCGCAAGGUUAAAACUCAAAUGAAUUGACGGGGGCCCGCACAAGCGGUGGAGCAUGUGGUUUAAUUCGAUGCAACGCGAAGAACCUUACCUGGUCUUGACAUCCACAGAACUUUCCAGAGAUGGAUUGGUGCCUUCGGGAACUGUGAGACAGGUGCUGCAUGGCUGUCGUCAGCUCGUGUUGUGAAAUGUUGGGUUAAGUCCCGCAACGAGCGCAACCCUUAUCCUUUGUUGCCAGCGGUUAGGCCGGGAACUCAAAGGAGACUGCCAGUGAUAAACUGGAGGAAGGUGGGGAUGACGUCAAGUCAUCAUGGCCCUUACGACCAGGGCUACACACGUGCUACAAUGGCGCAUACAAAGAGAAGCGACCUCGCGAGAGCAAGCGGACCUCAUAAAGUGCGUCGUAGUCCGGAUUGGAGUCUGCAACUCGACUCCAUGAAGUCGGAAUCGCUAGUAAUCGUGGAUCAGAAUGCCACGGUGAAUACGUUCCCGGGCCUUGUACACACCGCCCGUCACACCAUGGGAGUGGGUUGCAAAAGAAGUAGGUAGCUUAACCUUCGGGAGGGCGCUUACCACUUUGUGAUUCAUGACUGGGGUGAAGUCGUAACAAGGUAACCGUAGGGGAACCUGCGGUGU